GUAGUCGUGGCCGAAUGGUCAAGGCAAUGGACUAGAAAUCCAUUGGGGUUUCUCCACCAGGAUCGAAUCCUGCCGACUACA